rnacentral:rRNA from 1 species
GAGUUUGAUUCUGGCUCAGGACGAACGCUGGCGGCGUGCCUAAUACAUGCAAGUCGAACGAACGGAAGUUAGAACUUGUUCUAAUGGAAGUGAGUGGCGAACGGGUGAGUAACACGUGGGUAACCUACCUUUAAGCGGGGGAUAACAGUCGGAAACGACUGCUAAUACCGCAUAGGACAUAGCGUCACAUGACGCAGUGAGGAAAGACGGUUUCGGCUGUCACUUAGAGAUGGACCCGCGGUGCAUUAGCUAGUUGGUAAGGUAACGGCUUACCAAGGCGAUGAUGCAUAGCCGACCUGAGAGGGUGAUCGGCCACAUUGGGACUGAGACACGGCCCAAACUCCUACGGGAGGCAGCAGUAGGGAAUCUUCCGCAAUGGACGAAAGUCUGACGGAGCAACGCCGCGUGAGUGAAGAAGGUCUUCGGAUCGUAAAGCUCUGUUGUUAGAGAAGAAGAGUUAUGGGAGUAACUGACCAUAAUGUGACGUU